UACGUAGGGGGCAAGCGUUAUCCGGAUUUAUUGGGUUUAAAGGGAGCGUAGGUGGACUGGUAAGUCAGUUGUGAAAGUUUGCGGCUCAACCGUAAAAUUGCAGUUGAUACUGUCAGUCUUGAGUACAGUAGAGGUGGGCGGAAUUCGUGGUGUAGCGGUGAAAUGCUUAGAUAUCACGAAGAACUCCGAUUGCGAAGGCAGCUCACUGGACUGCAACUGACACUGAUGCUCGAAAGCGUGGGGAGCAAACAGG
rnacentral:rRNA from 1 species